CACAACUGUUUCCAGGACCCACUGCUGGUGUUGCCAUCACUGCCCUCCAGGGAAGAAGAGGAAAAAAUGAAUGUGGCUUAUUGGUAGCUAUCCCAUUAAACGGAGUAACAACAGUCAUAAAAUGUUCAAACACAAGAGAUCUGCUGUAAAGUGACUUUUGUGAAUGUCUGCUCACCUCCACCCACAUGAAAUUGGUUCCAUUUUAAGCCAGUAUAGCUAUCAACUGCU